UCAUUGAAAUUAUGAGACUAUCAUUCAAAUGGAAGCAUUAUAGUUCUUCGGAACCAUUAUGAUCUCAAAACGAAAGGAGAAUGAUACAGAUACACUGGCUGAGGUGUUUUGAGGUGCAUCGAAGUGUUCCAAGCUGUGACUUACCUUAACAUGUUCUUGAAGUACCAUGGCGUGGAUUAAAAGAAAAGAUGAAGACUUCUGGUAAAUUGUUUCACAGCAGUGGAAUUUGUACAUUAGUUUUCUACACUUGGGAGUUGAAAAAUGGAAGAAUUGUUUGCCAAAAGAGGAGGACAAAAGAUAAUAUGCAUAAUUCAUCUUUUUCUGCAAGUUCUUGGAAAUUUAGUCAAAGUACAUAGUUCAGUUCUCUGAAUUGGGCAUGAUAUGCUCUUCAGAAAUCAUGUUUUGAAAUUACAGAAGAUAAAUAACCUCUCCCAAUCAGUGUGUUA
rnacentral:sRNA from 1 species